rfam:Myotis lucifugus cont2.67891, whole genome shotgun sequence.
GCUGGUGUUGCUCAGUGGCUAGAGCGUCGGCCUGCGGACUGAAGGGUCCUGGGUUCGAUUCCCAGUCAAGGGCA